UACAGAGGUCUCAAGCGUUGUUCGGAUUCAUUGGACGUAAAGGGUGCGUAGGUGGCGGGGUAAGUCUGGUGUGAAAUCUCGGAGCUCGACUCCGAAACUGCACUGGAUACUGCCUUGCUCGAGUACUGGAGAGGAGAUUGGAAUUUACGGUGUAGCAGUGAAAUGCGUAGAUAUCGUAAGGAAGACCAGUGGCGAAGGCGAAUCUCUGGACAGUUACUGACACUGAGGCACGAAGGCCAGGGGAGCAAACGGG
rnacentral:rRNA from 1 species